AGGAUUAUAGUUAAUUAUAACAUUUGGGUUGCAUUCAAAAAGUGCUGAAGCUAUUCAGCUAUUCUUU
rnacentral:tRNA from 1 species